AGUGAACGCUGGCGGCAGGCCUAACACAUGCCAGUCGAACGGCAGCACAGUAAUAGCUUGCUCUUACGGGUUGCGGAUCGCGGACGGGUGAGGUAUACAACGGAAUCUACUUUUUCGGGGGGGAUCACGUAGCGAAACUUACGCUCAUAUCGCAUACGCCCCACCGUUGAAAGCAGUGGAACUUCUCGCCUUGUGCGGUUGAAUGAGCCGAUGUGGGAUUUGUUAGUUGGCGGGGUAAAGGCCCACCAUGGCGACGAUCCGUAGCUGGUGUGAGUGGAUGAUAGGCGACAUUGGAACUGGGACACGGUCCAGACGCCUACGGGAGGGAGCAGUGGGGAAUAUGGGACAACGGGGGCAAGCCUGAUCCAGCCAUCCCGCGUGGGUGGAGAAGGCCUCCGGGUUGUGAAGACCGUUUGUUGGGAAAGAAAAGCAGCAGGUUAAUACCCCGCUGUUCUGACGGUACCCAAAGAAUAAGCACCGGCUAACUUCGUG
rnacentral:rRNA from 1 species